CUGAGUGAGGGCCUUCGGGCUCGACCUCCAACCCUUUGUGAACACCAACUUGUUGCUUCGGGGGCGACCCUGCCGUUUCGACGGCGAGCGCCCCCGGAGACCAUCAAACACUGCAUCUUUGCGUCGGAGUUUAAGUAAUUUAAACA
rnacentral:misc_RNA from 1 species